rnacentral:rRNA from 1 species
CGCUGGCGGCGUGCUUAACACAUGCGAGUCGAACGAUGAGGCCUAGCUUGCUAGGUGGAUUAGUGGCGAACGGGGGAGUAAUACGUGAGUAACCUACCUUGAACUCUGGGAUAAGCCUGGGAAACUGGGGCUAAUACCGGAUACGACCAAUCUCCGCAUGGGGUGUUGGUGGAAAGCGGUAUGUAGUGGUUAUAGAUGGGCUCGCGGCCUAUCAGCUUGUUGGUGAGGUAACGGCUCACCAAGGCGACGACGGGUAGCCGGCCUGAGAGGGUGACCGGCCACACUGGGACUGAGACACGGCCCAGACUCCUACGGGAGGCAGCAGUGGGGAAUAUUGCACAAUGGGCGCAAGCCUGAUGCAGCGACGCCGCGUGAGGGAUGACGGCCUUCGGGUUGUAAACCUCUGUUAGCAGGGAAGGAGAGAGAUUGACGGUACCUGCAGAGAAAGCGCCGGCUAACUACGUGCCAGCAGCCGCGGUAAUACGUAGGGCGCGAGCGUUGUCCGGAAUUAUUGGGCGUAAAGAGCUUGUAGGCGGUUUGUCGCGUCUGCUGUGAAGGCCGGAGCUUAACUCCGUGUAUUGCAGUGGGUACGGGCAGACUAGAGUGCAGUAGGGGGGACUGGAAUUCCUGGUGUAGCGGUGGAAUGCGCAGAUAUCAGGAGGAACACCGAUGGCGAAGGCAGGUCUCUGGGCUGUAACUGACGCUGAGAAGCGAAAGCAUGGGGAGCGAACAGGAUUAGAUACCCUGGUAGUCCAUGCCGUAAACGUUGGGCACUAGGUGUGGGGAACAUUCCACGUUUUCCGCGCCGUAGCUAACGCAUUAAGUGCCCCGCCUGGGGAGUACGGCCGCAAGGCUAAAACUCAAAGAAAUUGACGGGGGCCCGCACAAGCGGCGGAGCAUGCGGAUUAAUUCGAUGCAACGCGAAGAACCUUACCAAGGCUUGACAUAUACUGGACCGCAUCAGAGAUGGUGUUUCCCUUCGGGGCUGGUAUACAGGUGGUGCAUGGUUGUCGUCAGCUCGUGUCGUGAGAUGUUGGGUUAAGUCCCGCAACGAGCGCAACCCUCGUUCUAUGUUGCCAGCACGUUAUGGUGGGGACUCAUAGGAGACUGCCGGGGUCAACUCGGAGGAAGGUGGGGAUGACGUCAAAUCAUCAUGCCCCUUAUGUCUUGGGCUUCACGCAUGCUACAAUGGCCGGUACAGAGGGUUGCGAUACUGUGAGGUGGAGCUAAUCCCUAAAAGCCGGUCUCAGUUCGGAUUGGGGUCUGCAACUCGACCCCAUGAAGUCGGAGUCGCUAGUAAUCGCAGAUCAGCAACGCUGCGGUGAAUACGUUCCCGGGCCU